GGCGCCGGGGCGGUGUUUGCGGGGCUCGGAUGCCCUCCAGGCGCUCAAGACCAAGCUAAGCUCCACAGUGCCUGUGUCCCUGCUUGCAUGCCUCUGCCCGGGUGCUGCUGCGGAGAUCCCCUGGGUCACAAGG